rnacentral:lncRNA from 1 species
AAUUCUCGAAUAAUUCGCGAAUAAUUAUUUUUUUUUCAAAAAUUCAUUUUUUUUUUUUCGAAUUUUUUGAAAAAAUAUGUAUACGGCCUUUUAAUUCAGUUUUUCAAAAAUUCGUGAAUAAUUCGCGAAUAAUUCGCGAAUUUACUAACUAUGCUCUUUAGUGAAUAAUAAAAGCAAUAUCGUUAAUAAUACCUAAUUAUUGUACCUAGCUAUGAAUAGGGUUAAUUUCAUACAAAGUUUAAAAUGCCGUGGUACGAGGGUGUGCCGUUGUUUGUCUGGCACGGUACGGUAUCGGCACGCUUUCGUACCUACAUAUGGUACGCUUGCGUGCCGAUGGAUAAACACGACCUCAUAUUUGCACGCUUUGACACAAACUUAUUUUAAUUUUUUUGGUUCCAAUAAUCUUUUAUAAUGUUAUUUUAAAAUUUUUAAUCAAAUAAUUAUCAAUAUUUGCUAUAUAUAGCUUAUUAUGCUCAUCAAUUAAUAUAUUUAUAAAUUUUUCUGUAUGCAAAAUACAAUUAUAACUGAUGUAGAAUAAAAAUUUUUACAAGUUAUAAUUUUUAAAAUGCAAAGAUAUCUUUUUUUUUUUACUAUAUUACAAUCUUUCUUUUAUAAAAUACAAAAAAAAUAAUUUUAAAAAUUAUUUGAAAAUUUUAUUUUAAAAAGUAUUUUAAAAAAAUAUUUGUUAAUUAAUUUUUUUUAAAAAUUAGUAGAUCUAUCCAAAAAAUUAAGCAAUAAAUUAUAUGACAAAUAAAUUAAACAAAUUUAAGUAUCAAUCGAUUUAAUUUAGAUUUUAAUUUUAUCAGUAUUUUCAAUCUUUUAGCACAAAAAUAAAAUUAUAUUUGAUGUAGCUUAAAAUUUAUCUAUUGAGCUCAAUUUUGCUCACUUAAUUUGUCAAAAAAUUCGCGGUGCGAUAAAUUUUGAUAAAAUAAUUUGUGAAGAAAAAAUAGAUGUCUGUGAUGAAAGCAAAAAGUUCGGACAAAUCUUUUGUCCACAUAUUGAUAAACAAAAAAAUUAAAUUAUAAUUUUUUUGACUUACCCAAUAAGUAAAUUUUCGAUUUGCAAUGUCUUUGCGGAGGGUCAUGGGGUAUUUAUAAUAUUUUGGAUACCCCAAAGAACAGAAUAAAAAUAAAAAAAUAAAAAGUAAAAAAAAAAAGCAAAAAAAAAUUAGUACAGUGCCGGCACGGCACUGUGUUGUGGCACGCUGCGCCAUGUCGCUCUUUUUCCUGUGGCACAGCGCUGAGUGCCGCGGCACGGAGGGAGGUCCGAGACCCUCCCUGUACCGUGCCACCUUCUUGGUGGUACGAUACGUACCGCCCAGUGCCGUAUGGUACGGAACAACACUUUAAAUCUUAAUUUCAGACAUGUUCCUACAAAUAUAGUGAAUAACAAAUAUAUUCUUAGAAAGUUCAACUUUCAUAUGUUGUUCUUAUAAAAGUUAUAAUGUUUUUAAAUAUAUUCCUCUAAUUUGUUACCGUUAGAGAACUAUUAGAAAACCGUUUAUAUUUUUAAUUUUGCCAUCACAAAUUUAUCCCUCCAAAAGUCAUACUAAUAUAAUUAAAGAGAUAAAAAUGUCAAAAACUAAUUAGGGUUAACUAUUUAACCUAUGGUUAACUAACUUUUUCUAACGGAUUCCAACGGUAGUAACAUCUUGAUAUUAACUAUAAACAAAUAUAUUUGGUAGGUUUUCCUCACACCCUCCUACCAAGGGUAUCUUGGUAAUUUAUUAUUAGUUGAAUAUUAACAAUAAAUUUAUAUAAUUAAAUUAAAAAUAAUAAUAUAAAUUUUAAAACUUCAUAUGAAUAGAUGAACGCCCUACUAUCAACAAGAAUUAAAAUUUAUUAUUAGGUCUCAGAACUUUUCAAAAAAAAUUUAUAGUAUAACAAAAUUUUUCAAAUUUUUUUAAGAAAAAGCAGUACUUUUUCUCUUUUCAUACCAAAAUUCAUUUAUUCGCAAAAUUUUAAAAAACUUAUAGUCAACUAAUUAUUAUCUAGAUAUUAAUUAUAAUGUUAUAUAAUUAACUUAUAAAUAACUAUAAUGUUGAAAAUUAUUUUAAAUUAGUGCAAUUCUUAUUUUUAAUUUAAANGACAUUACUAUUUAAAUAUAAUAUUAUUUAUUCACUAAUUUAUUAAUUUAUUUAAUUAUAUUAGAAAAAUCUAUACGUGCAACGCACGUGCACUGACUAGUAUUUGAAAACAUAAGAAUUUUUGCAGGAACAAUAUAUGAAAGUUGAACUUUGUAGGGAUAUAUUUGUUAUUCACUAUAUCUGUAAAGACAUGUAUGAAAUUAACCCCUUAUAAAUAGUUGUAAAGUUUUAUUCGGUG